rnacentral:rRNA from 1 species
AGUGAACGCUGGCGGCGUGCUUAACACUUGCAAGUCGAACGAGAACGGAUUAUAGCUUGCUAUAAUUGUCAGCUAAGUGGCGCACGGGUGAGUAAUGUAUAGGUAAUAUGCCUCUUACUAAGGGAUAGCAAAUGGAAACGUUUGCUAAUACCUUAUACUCCUUAUUAACAGAAGUUAAUAAGGGAAAGAUUUAUUGGUAAGAGAUUAGCCUGUAUUGUAUCAGUUAGUUGGUGGGGUAAUGGCUUACCAAGACUAUGACACAUAACUGGUUUGAGAGGAUGAUCAGUCACACUGGAACUGAGACACGGUCCAGACUCCUACGGGAGGCAGCAGUGGGGAAUAUUGCACAAUGGACGAAAGUCUGAUGCAGCAACGCCGCGUGGAGGAUGACACAUUUCGGUGCGUAAACUCCUUUUAUAUGAGAAGAUAAUGACGGUAUUAUAUGAAUAAGCACCGGCUAACUCCGUGCCAGCCGCCGCAGUAA